UACGUAGGGUGCAAGCGUUGUUCGGAAUUACUGGGCGUAAAGGGCGCGUAGGCGGUCUUCUAAGUCUUGUGUGAAAUCCCUCGGCUCAACUGAGGAACUGCACGGGAUACUGGAAGACUUGAGUUCGGGAGAGGGAAGCGGAAUUCCGGGUGUAGCGGUGAAAUGCGCAGAUAUCAGGAGGAACACCGGUGGCGAAGGCGGGUCUCUGGGCCGAUACUGACGCUGAGGAGCGAAAGCGUGGGGAGCGAACAGG
rnacentral:rRNA from 1 species